UACGUAGGGUGCGAGCGUUGUUCGGAAUUAUUGGGCGUAAAGGGCGCGUAGGCGGUUUGUUAAGUCGGCUGUGAAAGCCCGGGGCUCAACCCCGGAGGGUCAGCCGAUACUGGCAGGCUAGAGUACAGAAGAGGUAACUGGAAUUCCCGGUGGUAGCGGUGAAAUGCGUAGAUAUCGGGAGGAACACCUGAGGCGAAGGCGGGUUACUGGGCUGAUACUGACGCUGAUGCGCGAAAGCCAGGGGAGCAAACGGG
rnacentral:rRNA from 1 species